rnacentral:tRNA from 1 species
GGCUGGCGGGGCUGCGCAGGGACAGGCGGUUGCUGGCAUCGGCGGCGGUGGCAAUGCCCAAGCGUUCCAGCCGGUUGCCGGUCA